GACGAACGCUGGCGGCGCGCCUAACACAUGCAAGUCGAACGAGAGAGGAAGAGCUUGCUUUUCCGAUCGAGUGGCGAACGGGUGAGUAACGCGUGAGGAACCUGCCUCAAAGAGGGGGACAACAGUUGGAAACGACUGCUAAUACCGCGUAAGCCCACGGCUCGGCAUCGAGCAGAGGGAAAAGGAGCAAUCCGCUUUGAGAUGGCCUCGCGUCCGAUUAGCUAGUUGGUGAGGUAACGGCCCACCAAGGCGACGAUCGGUAGCCGGACUGGGAGGUUGAACGGCCACAUUGGGACUGAGACACGGCCCAGGCUCCUACGGGAGGCAGCAGUGGGGAAUAUUGCACAAUGGGGGAAACCCUGAUGCAGCGACGCCGCGUGGAGGAAGAAGGUCUUCGGAUUGUAAACUCCUGUUGUUGAGGAAGAUAAUGACGGUACUCAACAAGGAAGUGACGGCUAACUACGUGCCAGCCGCCGCAGUAA
rnacentral:rRNA from 1 species